rnacentral:rRNA from 1 species
AGGAUCAACGCUGGCGGCGUGCAUGAGACAUGCAAGUCAAACGGACGAUCAAAGCUUGCUUUGUUCGUUAGUGGCGGACGGCUGAGUAACGCGUGGGUGACCUGCCCCGAAGUGGGGAAUAACUGCCCGAAAGGGUGGCUAAUACCGCAUGUGGUGGUGCGUUCAAUCGCACCAGUAAAGCCGCAAGGCGCUUCGGGAGGGGCCUGCGUCCGAUUAGCUCGUUGGUGGGGUAACGGCUUACCAAGGCGACGAUCGGUAGGUGGUCUGAGAGGACGAUCACCCAGACUGGGACUGAGACACGGCCCAGACUCCUACGGGAGGCAGCAGUCGGGAAUUUUGCGCAAUGGACGAAAGUCUGACGCAGCAACGCCGCGUGGGGGAUGAAGGCCUUCGGGUUGUAAACCCUUUCUCAGGGACGAUAAUGACGGUACCUGAGGAAUAAGCCACGGCUAACUACGUGCCAGCAGCCGC